UAGUAGGAUGUUUGCUUAAUUAUAUAUACAUAUUUUUCCAUGAUCAAUUCAAGAGUUAAACAAGCUACCAUAACUCCUUCCAGAGUCAAAUUUCACAAUCUUGAACAAUUCAGAAUCCCAAAUUUCCAAUCCCAAUCAUACCACAGUCAUCGUUCUCACAGACCCACUUCAAAAUCCUCACCUGAAACUCAAAGCCCUCAUAAUAAGCCCAGAAGAAACCUUCUUCACAAGCCAAUACCACUCCUUGCCGAUCUCAAACAAAUUCAAGAUCCCGAUGAAGCUAUUUCGCUCUUCCAUGAUUACCAACAAAUGGGGUUCAAACAUGACUACCCAACUUAUUCUUGUCUUGUUUAUAAGCUCGCAAAGUCUCGAAAUUUUGAAGCUGUUGAAACCCUUCUUGGGUAUCUCCAAACCCAUUAUAUUCAAUGUAAAGAAACACUUUUUAUCGGGUUAAUUCAACAUUACGGGAAAGCCCAGUUAGUUGAUAAAGCUGUUGAGCUUUUCCACAAAAUGGGGUCGUUUAAUUGUUCGCGUAGUAUACAGUCUUUUAAUGCACUUUUGAAUGUGCUUGUUGAUAAUGGGCGUUCUGAAGAUGCGAAUGAGAUGUUAAGGAGUUGUUCGAAGAUGGGUAUCUGGUUAAAUUCUGUUUCGUUCAACAUUAUUAUCAAGAUGUGGCUGGAGAAGGGUGAUUGGGAAAUGGCUCGCCAAGUGUUUGAUGAAAUGCUUGGGAGAGAGAUUGAGCCAACUGUGGUGACUUACAAUUGUCAAAUUGUUUUUUUGUGUAAGAGGGGGGAUGUUGAAGGUGCUAAAAGUCUGUUUCAGGAUAUGGUUAGGAAGGGAAAGAAGGCAAAUGCUGUUUCUUAUGCUUCGCUCAUGGAAGGUUUAUGUUCUUUGGGGAAGUAUAAGGAAGCUAAGAAGUUGAUGUUUGAUAUGGAAUACCAAGGAUGUAAGCUGAAAAUAGUCAAUUAUGGUGUUUUGAUGACUGAUCUUUUGAAACGAGGUGAAAUUGGUGAGGCAAACAGUUUACUUGUGGAGAUGAAAAAAAGGCGUGUUAAGCCUGACAUUGUGAUCUAUAACAUGUUAAUCAAUUAUUUUUGUAAGGAAGGUAAGACUACUGAGGCGUAUAGGAUGUUAGUUGAUAUGCAAAUUGCAGGCUGCUAUCCUAAUGCAGCUACAUACAGGAUGGUGGUUGAUGGGUUUUGUAAAACAGGAGAAUUUGAGGAAGGUUUGAAGGUUUUGAAUGCAAUGUUGAUGAGCAGGCAUUUUCCACGUAUGGAAACAGUAAGGUGUUUGAUUCUUGGUCUGCUUGAUAAAGGGAAGGUUGAAGAUGCUUGCUUUGUUUUGGAGGAGAUGGAGAAGAGAAAGAAAAGGUUCGAUUUUGAUUCAUGGGAAGUCAUUGUCAAGGAUUCUUGCACUAGUGAUAGCAGUGUUUGCAUAGCGUAGAGUCCAUUUAAGGAUAAUUUCAAGAAGGGCUUUUCUGCUUGAAACAUAAAAGAUGAAAAGAGACCGGUGAUCACUCAUUUGUUAUAAGCUGACGGUACCAUUUGAUUUACAUCGUGUGACCUUGAAUCUACGAGAUGAUGCAGUGUUUCUGAACAAAUGAUUAACAAGGAGAAGUCUUCAUUCCUGGUAGCACCUUAGGCUUUUCAGAACAUGAUUUGGGGGAAUCAAGAUAUUGACAACAUUUCAGCACAAGAUUUCCCAUUACAUAUCUUGGUUUAUACAAGAAGGAAGAAGAUUUACUUAUUCAAUAAUAUGGUCAGAAUCCACAGAUGGAAUAAGUAGUUAUCUCAUGUAGGGCAGAGGAGUUUUGAUAUAUUUGUGUUGUAUUCACUUCCUAUGCACAUCUUGGCAGUUGUGGACCUUCUUAAAAUCACUAAUUUUCUUGAGAAGGUACAACAACAAUAGUGAGGUUUGGGGAGGG